GACAGAGGGUGCAAACGUUGUUCGGAAUCACUGGGCGUAAAGCGCGUGUAGGCGGUCUGGAAAGUCGGGCGUGAAAUCCCACGGCUCAACCAUGGAAGUGCACUCGAAACUUCCAGACUAGAGUUUUGGAGAGGAAGGCGGAAUACUCGGUGUAGAGGUGAAAUUCGUAGAUAUCGAGUGGAACACCGGUGGCGAAGGCGGCCUUCUGGACAAUGACUGACGCUGAAACGCGAAAGCGUGGGGAGCAAAC
rnacentral:rRNA from 1 species